UACGUAGGGUCCGAGCGUUGUCCGGAAUUAUUGGGCGUAAAGAGCUCGUAGGCGGUUUGUCGCGUCUGCUGUGAAAUCCCGAGGCUCAACCUCGGGUCUGCAGUGGGUACGGGCAGACUGGAGUGUGGUAGGGGAGACUGGAAUUCCUGGUGUAGCGGUGAAAUGCGCAGAUAUCAGGAGGAACACCGGUGGCGAAGGCGGGUCUCUGGGCCGAUACUGACGCUGAGGAGCGAAAGCAUGGGGAGCGAACAGG
rnacentral:rRNA from 1 species